UAUAUGCCUUUUAUUUGUUUUGUGAAAUGAUAUUUCAUUGGCAUAACAGGUAGCUAUGAAAUAAUAGUUGUUAGGUUUCUCUGAUGAUUUUUGUGGUGCUAAGAUUCGGAACUGUGUAUUCAUUAUUUGUGCUUUAAUAUUUGUUUCUUGUGCAGGUACAAGGAAUCUUGUUUAUUAUCAGAGUCCUAUAACUAUAGCAUAGUCCCUUGGGGAAAGAAAAAACAAAAUAAAGCUAAUAUUGGGUGAGUUGUCAGCUCUGAAUAUAACUUGGACCUAAUUCCAUUUUCAGGUAACUCAUAUUCAUAGGCUUGAUAUGUCUUUUCCUUUCUUUUUCUGUUAAUGGACAAUAUUCUGGAUCUAACGCAUUUUCAUUUUCAAUUUUUAUCAUAAAUUAAAGUAGUGCUGGCUUUUUUUUUCCUUUUAUAAGAAUGUAGACAGAACUCAUCUACCUAAGCUUUAGUGGGCGAUAUUUGUACUGAUAGAAUAAUUGAAAUGCACAAACACUGAUGGACAAUAGAUUCUGGAUCUAACGCAUUUUCAUUUUCAAUUUUUAUCAUAAAGUAUUUCUUUUUUUUUUGUUUUUGUGUAUAAGAAUAUAGUAGACAGAACUCAUCUACCUAAGCUUUAGUUGGCGAUAUUUGUACUGAUAGAAUAAUUGAAAUGCACAAACAAAACUUAUCUAGACAUCACUUCAUUAAAAAAGAAUAGACCUAAUUUGCAAAUUUCUGAGAUUUAUUCUCCUCUUUCCAGGUAGCUGUGUUCCCACGUUUGCCUUUGAAUGAUAUCCACUAAGAUACAAAUAGCAAGUGGCUGAAUAUAUAUUUUUCCUCUUUCUAGGAAGACCCAAAUUACUUGGUCUUGCAAACUUUUGUAUGCUGCAAACAUUGAUGAGUGAUAUUGAGGUUGCAAAUUGCGAGUUGGACUAAGUUUUGAUGGAUCUAAUUACUCUCUGGUCAGUGGCGUACGCAGAAUUUUUAUAAGCGGUGUUACUAUUUAACAUAUUAAACAAUUGAAUAAAUUGUUGUAAUAUAAUAUAUAAAUUAUUAUUGCUAAUUGAGGGCACAAUUAUUUUUAAAGUGGGAAACAAUUCCUAUUUGUGAAAGGUUUUUAACAAAUUAGGGUCAAGUAAUAAUAGGCCCCGUAAAUAGCAGCCAAGGCCCAAGAGU
rnacentral:lncRNA from 1 species